GCAGCGGCCGCACGUGCGGCUGCUGUCCUCCGACGGCAUCACGAGAGGCGACCGUUAGUUAGCCCAACGGCCGCUACCAACGGUCCCUCAGAGCGACUCACCGCAGUUGGCUGAGGUCUCUCGGCCGCCGAUGUCCUUGGUCGGGGAGCAGGGACCUGCAACUGUGGGCCGGGCUCCGCCGCGGUUGCUCUGGGCCAGCCACUCCACCGAGAAAGGCCUCUUCUCCAUCUCCCCCGCUGCUGCCGGUCCCCGCUCACUGAGGCCGUCCCAGCUCUGGGGGCAAACAUUUAAAGCACCUUCCGCGACGUGUUUUUUGAAAAGGCCGCAAAGCAUCGAGACAGAGGACAAAGGACUUCAUUGAGAGGUGCUUUAAUCUCCCUUUUCAGGUGAUUGUUACAUCCGCCUAAUCUCUAAACGCAGCAGUUAGCAAAACUCAAGGCUACCUGACCUGGCGCCAAGUUCAGUUGAGUGGUCUCUUGACCACGUAGCUCCUGGUAAUUGCAUCAUGGCCAGUGCUUUUUAUGCUGCCCAAGCUGGCCUCGACUCUCGAAUCACGCCGUGAUUUUCUAUCUUUAUCUCCCAGUAUAAAGGACAAGGAUUGAGACUGGUAACAAAGGAGGAUAUAGGGAGGCCCCUUUUAUGAGAUUUAAACUCAAAGCUGGAGCCCCUUUUGCCUGUUUGGUGCAAAGUUUGGAAUAAUCCUGCUGCCUUUCUAUCGGCAAAGGAGUGACUCAAAAUCCAGAUAGUUCUCCAGAUAAUCAUCUAGAUAAGAAGUGUGUGAUGAAUCUCUCUUCAACUUCACCAGCUCCCACAUUUGAAGUUCAAGCAUCAAGAGAAAGAAAAGUGUGGAUAUAUGAAACCAGAACACCCUGAAGGCUUAAAUAUGGAAGUAAAAUCAGACUGAAGACUAAAGAAAUUGGUAAUUUUUUGUUUCAUUCUUGCAUUUCUUUGGGACUGGCUUAUUUUUCUAAGCCACCUGGGAUAGCAGAUGGUGCCAGCAUACUUUUGAACCUAGUUAAUUUUUUGCAUGUUUUUGCCUAGCAUUGUGUCUCACAAGGGUCUGGUUUGGUUCCUAUCCUUAUGCGUAAAGGACAGUUUGUUUUAUCAGGAGUUUGAGGGCAAAAUAGCCUGAGUUAUUAUUAGGAUAAUCUAUAUCCAGUUGCAACCAAGGAAGACAUGCAACUGUUUUCCAUUUAUAUGACUGAAUUACGUGAUAUAGGUGAGAUUAGCCAAGACAGAUUCCCUGCAGAUUUAACUUAUCAUGAUUGGUUCAGGCAGGAGGUCUGAAGAAAGUGUUAUUUCCCUAGGCCUUUUGAAUUGUGAUGAGGUACCAUACCCGCAGGGCAGCAGGUUGUGCAGUCUACAUGCUGUUAUUGACCAGAGGC